rnacentral:sRNA from 1 species
GGCCCUUCCUAACAGUCAUGGACUUACCACUGUAUGCGUACGUCGCGUCGAGCCGUCAAGCUGCUUUGCCGUCAGGCGGGAUGACCGCUUCUGUCGAUCAAAAAAAGAAGAUCAAGGUUCAAACAGCUGGAUGUUGUUACAACGAGGGAUUGUGGAGUAAAGAUGCGAGAGUGAGGGAAAAGGAAGACUGCGCUGAUAUUAGGGGUUUGAAGACAACAAAUGAUGAUAGGGAAAAGAAGUGGUGGUGGUACUGUUGUAUGCUGCCGUGUGGGCAUGAUUGUCGGCUGCAAUCGAGAGCCGAUUAUAAGUGUCCGGUGGUAACAGGCAUGUGGAGGAGCAAGCUAGAAACGAACGGGCUGAAUGAUAAGCGAUUGAAGAAGUAGAUGGAGAGGAGGAAAAUAUUAAUGAACGAUGCUGAUGAACUGUGACUAGCAACAACCAACACGAAGACAUACAUCAUAUUGAACACACAACUGCAAGCCAGAGGGUACACCUGCCUGCCAGCUGGUCCCUGUAGAUAUCAUCCAAUUGAUAGUAUAUAUGUGGUCCGAGCGCAUGGCAAUGACCCUUGGAUCAUUUUGCCUUUUGUUGUCCGUCAUCAACAGGAGGAAGAAGAAGACGGAAGGAAGAACAAGAAGUUUAGCACGUCCCUUCAAAUUGUCAUGGUGACUGAAACUGGAAGCAGCAUGCAACAUACUUCUGUCAAGGUAUGAAUGGCCUUGCCAUUAUAGCAGUAGUGGUGGGCGCGCUACUUUGUGUGUGAAGACGGACCAUGUAACUGUAGAAGUACAGUAAUAAGAGCUUGUUAGUUGUUGUAAUAAGAUGAUAAAAUCCUCUGAUGCUAGUAGUGUCGAUGACUGAUGUCUACAUAUCUUACGUUUCU